rnacentral:rRNA from 1 species
CGAUGUCGACUUGGAGGUUGUUCCCUUGAGGAGUGGCUUCCGGAGCUAACGCGUUAAGUCGACCGCCUGGGGAGUACGGCCGCAAGGUUAAAACUCAAAUGAAUUGACGGGGGCCCGCACAAGCGGUGGAGCAUGUGGUUUAAUUCGAUGCAACGCGAAGAACCUUACCUGGCCUUGACAUCCAGAGAACUUAGCAGAGAUGCUUUGGUGCCUUCGGGAACUCUGAGACAGGUGCUGCAUGGCCGUCGUCAGCUCGUGUUGUGAAAUGUUGGGUUAAGUCCCGCAACGAGCGCAACCCUUAUCCUUUGUUGCCAGCGAUUCGGUCGGGAACUCAAAGGAGACUGCCGGUGAUAAACCGGAGGAAGGUGGGGAUGACGUCAAGUCAUCAUGGCCCUUACGGCCAGGGCUACACACGUGCUACAAUGGCGCAUACAAAGAGAAGCGACCUCGCGAGAGCAAGCGGACCUCAUAAAGUGCGUCGUAGUCCGGAUUGGAGUCUGCAACUCGACUCCAUGAAGUCGGAAUCGCUAGUAAUCGUAGAUCAGAAUGCUACGGUGAAUACGUUCCCGGGCCUUGUACACACCGCCCGUCACACCAUGGGAGUGGGUUGCAAAAGAAGUAGGUAGCUUAACCUUCGGGAGGGCGCUUACCACUUUGUGAUUCAUGACUGGGGUGAAGUCGUAACAAGGUAACCAAGGGCGAAUUCCACAGUG